ensembl:lncRNA
AUGCGCUUCCUCGAUGUACACCAGCAGCGAGUCCGCGAUGUCCGCGUACUGCCGCGCGACGCGCUGGAACGCCGCGAGGCGCGUCAUGAACGGCGGUCAGGAGCAGCUCCCAAAGUUCAGGAUGAGGGGUCUCCUCCCGCGGGCGUAGUCCAGGAUCCGCUGCGCGCCUCUCCGCGACGCGCUGUCCAGGGGAACCACCUCGGUGUUGGGCGCCGCGCCGCCCAGACGCGCCGUCUUGAAGAAGUCCAGCUUGUGGCCGUACCACACGGCGCGCAGCGACUCGAGCGUGAACAUCUUGUUGGAGUCGGACACGCAGAGCGGCGGGUCGUCGGGGCUGCCCAAGUCGCUCUCCCGCAUCUUCGUGAGCACCUUCCUCCGGAUGCACAGGAAAUCCAGGAACCACAGCAUCACGGCCGCGAACAGGAAGCGCGGCAGCAGCAUCAGGCACACGGCGGCGUUUUUCAGCGCCUUCACCGUUUGGACACCUGCGGAUCCAUGCAGCAUCUCCAUCCCCAUCCGGACAGGGCUGUCCUCAGUGUGUGGCCCCUCAUCUCAUCUCAGACGAGUCGAUCGAACCGUCAGCGCGUCACACAGCCACAGACAGCUUUCUUCUUCUCAUUACUGAUGUUAGUAAAGUCAGGAUCAGGUUAUUCACUCAUCAGAGUUUUAAUGAAUCAGCGGUUGAUUCAUACGUGCGCCGAGUCGCAGAGGAGGAGGAAAUCAGGACGGCAUGAGGACCCCAGGCGCUUCAGCUCGCUGUGGGUCUGUGUCGGGAACACGAGGGGAAGGGUGAUGGGAAACAGCCUUUUAAUGGAAAAGCAGCCACUUUGGAAGGAGCCCAGAGGAGUAGUGGCUCCGGCGGACGGGGGGAGCGCGGGGUCAGACGAGGUCACGACUGCGGUGUACAUGCAGGUGUGA